UGGGGAAUCUUGGACAAUGGGGGGAACCCUGAUCCAGCGAUGCCGCGUGGGUGAAGAAGGCCUUCGGGUUGUAAAGCCCUUUAGGUUGGGAAGAAGGUUAUGGGGGGAUAAUACCUGUAACUUGACGGUACUGACAGAAUAAGCACCGGCAAACUCUGUGCCAGCAGCCGCGGUAAUACAGAGGGUGCGAGCGUUAAUCGGAAUUACUGGGCGUAAAGGGCGCGUAGGCGGUUAUAUGUGUGGGAUGUGAAAGCCCUGGGCUUAACCUGGGAAGUGCAUACCAAACUGUAUAACUGGAGUAUAUGAGAGGGUAGCGGAAUUUCCGAUGUAGCGGUGAAAUGCGUAGAGAUCGGAAGGAACGCCGAUGGCGAAGGCAGCUAUCUGGCAUAAUACUGACGCUGAGGCGCGAAAGCGUGGGGAGCAAACAGGAUUAGAUACCCCCGUAGUCC
rnacentral:rRNA from 1 species